UACGUAGGGGGCAAGCGUUGUUCGGAAUUACUGGGCGUAAAGGGCGCGUAGGCGGCACGGCAAGUCGGGAGUGAAAGCCCGGGGCUCAACCCCGGAGGGUCUUCCGAAACUGCCGAGCUAGAGUGCGGAAGAGGCAACCGGAAUUCCCAGUGUAGCGGUGAAAUGCGUAGAUAUUGGGAAGAACACCAGAGGCGAGGGCGGGUUGCUGGGCCGACACUGACGCUGAGGCGCGAAAGCCAGGGGAGCAAACGGG
rnacentral:rRNA from 1 species